CAUCCUGCUCUUUGAGGUUAAAAAGAGGCUACUGGACAACCAUUCUCUGCCCGAUGAUCAGCUGAUGUGCAUCUCCCAGGUUUAAGCAGCUGUUGGCAGCUCCUCUCUGUUGUUCAGCCUCUCCAGGAAAAUCCUCUGCAUCCUCACACGGCUUAUACAGUCACAAGUCACCAAGACGGUCUUACCUUUCUCCAAAGCUAAACCUGCCGCCAAUCUGUAAGGUAUGCAGGAAUAAGCAGGGAGGAGUAUAUCUGCUCUAAGCAAGGUUUGAUCCUGGAUCCACUGCCUAGUGUUGUACUGAGGUGUUCAACUAUUCAUGAGUGCAGGACCCUCCUGUUCCUCCUCUCUGAGAAUGCGAGCUGAGACAGACGGCUGGCAGGAGGAGGGAAGGAUGCUGCUGCGUUUUCUGCUGCAGAGUUUGGAGAAAGAGAAGGACAAGUUUCUCUCUGCAGCUGCAGCAGAGGCUAGAAACAUCAAGUCUCUGUGUGGUGUCAGACAGAAUCAGCAGCAGAGAAAUCUCGGAGGACAGAUCGGGGGAUAUACUGCUCUGUGAGCGCUCUCACAACAAACUGUGAUUCACCUGAGAGUGUUAAUGAGGUUAUCAUGUCUGGGUUGGUUAUGCUCUGGGAAAAGCUGCGGAUUAAACUGUACUUUUAUGGCAUCAUGAUUCACUGUAAUCUACACCAUGGAGAGGAAGGAAAUUAGGUAACAGUCCCAGACUGCUACGGUGCUGGUUAUUGCACAAGUUAGGUAACAGACAGAAGGAAAGACAGUUAAACCCGUCACCCUGUUAAGGCUUGGAUCACCCCAUAUUUCUCUACAUUAAGCCACUAAAAAAAUAAACUUUGUUGUUACCUUUUAAAAAGCUUUUAACCAGCUUGAUGCUGCAUGAUUGUGGAUGUCUCUAGUCUUGUCAGCUCCUUCCUGGACUUUUUUUCCUUUUCCUGAAAGAAAACUAAGUUACUAUUGGUCUGCAGCUUUUUAAGCCUGUCACCUAUUCUGCUAUUUCCGACUUGUCCAGUUUGCUCAUUUUUUUGCAAGGACACAGUACACAACUGCUAUCACUGGCAGGUACAAGGCCUGGGAUAAAAUAGUAUUGAAAAAAACAGUCAAAACCUAGGGAAAAUUUUAAAAUCUGCAAGAAGGUCUGGAAAACUAGCAAUCAGCACUAGAUUAAAAUAAUACGAAGUCUACCUGCUUUGGUGGAAUGUAAAACAAAGUUUGUCUUUUCUUUUUCUUGUGCACAUCCAUAUCCUUUUAAAGAAUCAUAAAGCCCAUAAAGAACAUUUUGAGAUGAAUUUCUCAUUCAUUCAAAAAUGUAUAGCAUUUUAAGAAAAUGGCCCUUGCUUGCAGUUGAAUGUAUGGUUUACAGUUGGACCCAUCAAACAUGGCAAUAAAGAUGUACUGUUAAAACUCACAAAUGACCAAAAACCUACCACUUCCAUUCAUAUUUUGCAAAACGACUGAUUUUGCUAAUGAUUCUACUAGAAAGGGAUGUUGGAAAGCCCUAAAAUACAACACUUUAUUCAAUUAAUUUUUAAGUAGUACAAGAGCAACAUGUAGUUUUAACAAGCAUAGAGCGCCCUCUGUGGAUAUAGGUAAUGUUUACUACUUGGUUCAUGUUGGUCAGCAUGAUUUACCAUUUAA